rnacentral:rRNA from 1 species
GCAGUAGCCACGGGAAUACAGAGGGUGCAAGCGUUAAUCGGAAUUACUGGGCGUAAAGCGCGCGUAGGUGGUUCGCCAAGUUGGAUGUGAAAUCCCCGGGCUCAACCUGGGAACUGCAUCCAAAACUGGCGAGCUAGAGUAUGGUAGAGGGUGGUGGAAUUUCCUGUGUAGCGGUGAAAUGCGUAGAUAUAGGAAGGAACAUCAGUGGCGAAGGCGACCACCUGGACUGAUACUGACACUGAGGUGCGAAAGCGUGGGGAGCAAACAGGAUUAGAUACCCCGGUAGUCCCUGUCUCUUAUAC